rnacentral:rRNA from 1 species
UGAGGAAUAUUGGUCAAUGGGCGCAAGCCUGAACCAGCCAUCCCGCGUGAAGGAAGAAGGCGCUAUGCGUUGUAAACUUCUUUUCCAGGGGAAUAAAAUUGAGUACGUGUACUUGACUGAAGGUACUCUGGGAAUAAGCAUCGGCUAACUCCGUGCCAGCAGCCGCGGUAAUACGGAGGAUGCGAGCGUUAUCCGGAUUUAUUGGGUUUAAAGGGUGCGUAGGCGGAUUGAUAAGUCAGUGGUGAAAUGCUGCAGCUUAACUGUAGAACUGCCAUUGAUACUGUCAGUCUUGAGUACGGUCAAGGUAGGCGGAAUGUGUAAUGUAGCGGUGAAAUGCUUAGAUAUUACACAGAACACCGAUUGCGAAGGCAGCUUACUGGGCCGCAACUGACGCUGAUGC